AUUGAACGCUGGCGGCAGGCUUAACACAUGCAAGUCGAGCGGUAACAGAGAGUAGUUUACUAUUCUGCUGACGAGCGGCGGACGGGUGAGUAAUGUCUAGGAAUCUGCCUAGUAGUGGGGGAUAACUUGCCGAAAGGUAAGCUAAUACCGCAUACGUCCUACGGGAGAAAGGAGGGGACUCUUCGGAGCCUUUCGCUAUUAGAUGAGCCUAGGUCGGAUUAGUUAGUUGGUGAGGUAAUGGCUCACCAAGACCGCGAUCCGUAACUGGUCUGAGAGGAUGAUCAGUCACACUGGAACUGAGACACGGUCCAGACUCCUACGGGAGGCAGCAGUGGGGAAUAUUGGACAAUGGGGGAAACCCUGAUCCAGCCAUGCCGCGUGUGUGAAGAAGGUCUUAGGAUUGUAAAGCACUUUAAGUUGGGAGGAAGGGCAGUUAACUAAUAUUUGACUGUUUUGACGUUACCGACAGAAUAAGCACCGGCUAACUUCGUG
rnacentral:rRNA from 1 species